UAAUGGCAGUACAUGUAGAAACAUCUACUAUUUCGAAGGGAACUUAAAUCCUUGAACUAAUGUCAGUUACUCUCGUCUAGGAUCAGGUAACCGCCACUUCAUCUUUGGGCCACAAAUCAAGAGAGGUGCUGUGAGGGUGGCGGGGGCGUGGCCAUUGGCUAAUUGGCAGCCGUAGUUCAUUAGUGUGCGAGUCACACGCUGAUUAGGCGGCGGGAAUCAGGACUCGGAUGUGGUUGCAAUUUUGGUGUCACAGCCACAGAGCCACACAACAAUAGCAAUCAAACGAAAUUGAUGGCCUAGAAACGGGAUGCAAAUUAAUUGGUCCUUGAAAAUGGACACUCAAUACCGUUUAUAAGAAAAUAAUAGAACAAUAAGGUAUAUCUAGGAGGAUUAAAUUACAAACAAUACCGUCAACAACGGCCGACAAAACUGGCAACAAUGCAGAAUGACUUACUAAUCCCGGCUUAAAAACUUACCGCAAAAACUCCUGACUCCUGAAAGGACACACCGUGCGACAAACGACCUAGUGGUGUGGUGAGUCGCUGGGGGAAAUCCUCAUAGCAUUCAUCGGAGAUGGGAAACAAACAAGAUGCGACGAGCCCAUAAAUUAGCAUCACUUAAGUGGCCAGAUGAGAGUCGGGCAGGAGAAAACAUUGCUUUUCUCGGAGGGGGCGUGUAAUCCUUUCAACGAUUAAUUGCAACCUGCCCGCCCACAGAGACGAAGAACAUGAGGGUCCUGGGGAGGAUUUGGAUGUGAAUAUAAAUGGCUAAUCAGACAGGAAAGCACACAAAUACAGACACAAAUGUCAUGUGGGACAGCUAAUGAUAUCCACAAAUCCCCCAAAACUCAAUCAAUUGUUUUCGCAGAGGGUUGUCAUGCUCCUCUCGUCCUUGGCUUUCCUCCCUCGUUUUCCAGGACUUUCCCAAGCCACGACAAGCAAUGCAGUCAACUGAGAACGAACUGGGCAAAUAAACAAGGGAAAGCGAGGAAAAGUCAAGGGAAAUGCCUCAAGGGAUGGGAAAAAAAGAUACC